CGGCUAGCCGUGGAGUGGUAAAUUGAGGGCGUUUACCCCACAUCCCACGGGUUUUUUGUCAACAAUCAGAUAGGGUUUUUAAGGAUCAUGAUGGUCGCCGAGAGAUCGGAUUAUCCUUUGGUUUGUUUCGCCGCUCGCAGGCCGCCAUCAGGCGCGCGGCCAUCAAUUGAUUCUUGAUUGCUAAGCAAGAUAACGCGUCCCUCCGCAUGGGCAGGGGAAACGUAGGCCGAACACGAGGGAACAAGUCCUGCAACUUAAUUGCUGACCGGCGGUCAGCUUGAAGAGGUUCAACUACGUGAUCUCGACCCUGGAAAAGCAGGCCUCGGUGGAAACCUUGGAACGGCGGAAACAGCGUAAAAAUGAGCAAGGCGCAGCGAAAGACUCAAAACGCA
rnacentral:sRNA from 2 species